GAUGAACGCUGGCGGCGUGCCUAACACAUGCAAGUCGAGCGAAGCGAUCUGAUGGAAGUUUUCGGAUGGAAGUCAGAUUGACUGAGCGGGCGUACGGGUGAAGGUAACGCGUAGGUAACCUGCCUCAUACAGGGGGAUAACAGUUAGAAAUGGCUGCUAAUACCGCAUAAGCACACAGGACCGCAUGGUCCGGUGUGAAAAACUCCGGUGGUAUGAGAUGGAUCCGCGUCUGAUUAGCCAGUUGGCGGGGUAACGGCCCACCAAAGCGACGAUCAGUAGCCGGCCUGAGAGGGCGACCGGCCACAUUGGGACUGAGACACGGCCCAA
rnacentral:rRNA from 1 species